GGAGAACAUCUACCGGUACUACAACUGCAUCUAAUGUUACAUCUGUUACAUUUUAAAUUGUGUGUAUUUUUCAGUAAUAUGACAUUGACAAGGGAAUUACUGCAGAGGACAGCGCAAGGGGGCAAACGAUUAAUAAGAUGGCUCCAGAAGGAGAGGCUGGUUGCAAGGAAAAAACGAUGCCCUGUGUGCAACAACAGAAUGCAAUUCAAAAGAACCAGCACAACCAAGGAUGGAUACAGGUGGAUCUGUAGAAAGGCCAACCACAGGGGAAGGUGCAUCACAAGGUCCAUCAGAGAGGGCUCAAUAUUCUCCAGAUCCCACAUUCCACUACCAUCAUGGAUGACAAUAAUGCACAGUUUGUCACAGGGUUUGAGGAAGAGGCAAGUGGACAUGAUAGAGGAUGGAGUAUGUGGGAGCAGCAAAUCACUGACCAGGGUGACUACACUUCUGAGGGAAAUCUGCGGUGAAGCAAUCAGACGACUGGAAGGAAGACGGGAAAUGCAAAUUGGAGGGAGGAGAGCUUUUGUAUCAAUAGACGAGAGCAAAUUCAGACACAAAAGAAAGUACGGUCGUGGACGACGUGGAAACACCUG
ensembl:lncRNA